ACGGGUGAGGAAUACAUCGGAAUCUACUCUGUCGUGGGGGAUAACGUAGGGAAACUUACGCUAAUACCGCAUACGACCUACGGGUGAAAGCAGGGGAUCUUCGGACCUUGCGCGAUUGAAUGAGCCGAUGUCGGAUUAGCUAGUUGGCGGGGUAAAGGCCCACCAAGGCGACGAUUCGUAGCUGGUCUGAGAGGAUGAUCAGCCACACUGGAACUGAGACACGGUCCAGACUCCUACGGGAGGCGGCAGUGGGGAAUAUUGGACAAUGGGCGCAAGCCUGAUCCAGCCAUACCGCGUGGGUGAAGAAGGCCUUCGGGUUGUAAAGCCCUUUUGUUGGGAAAGAAAUCCAGCUGGCUAAUACCCGGUUGGGAUGACGGUACCCAAAGAAUAAGCACCGGCUAACUUCGUGCCAGCAGCCGCGGUAAUACGAAGGGUGCAAGCGUUACUCGGAAUUACUGGGCGUAAAGCGUGCGUAGGUGGUCGUUUAAGUCCGUUGUGAAAGCCCUGGGCUCAACCUGGGAACUGCAGUGGAUACUGGGCGACUAGAGUGUGGUAGAGGGUAGCGGAAUUCCUGGUGUAGC
rnacentral:rRNA from 1 species